rnacentral:rRNA from 1 species
AUUGAACGCUGGCGGCAGGCCUAACACAUGCAAGUCGAACGAGUGGCGGACGGGUGAGUAAUGUCUGGGAAACUGCCUGAUGGAGGGGGAUAACUACUGGAAACGGUAGCUAAUACCGCAUACCCUCAGAUGUGCCCAGAUGGGAUUAGCUAGUUGGUGGGGUAACGGCUCACCAGGGCGACGAUCCCUAGCUGGUCUGAGAGGAUGCCAAGCCAAACGGGAACUGAGACACGGUCCAUACGCCUACGGGAGGCAGCAGUGGGGAAGAUUGCACAAUGGGCGCAAGCCUGAUGCAGCCAUGCCGCGUGUAGGAAGAAGGCCGUCGGGUUGUAAAGUACUUUCAGCGGGGAGGCGUUACCCGCAGAAGAAGCACCGGCUAACUCCGUGCCAGCCGCCGCGGUAAUUC